CUUGUAAUAGUAGUCUAUAUCUAUAGUACCACAUUUUACAGGUGUGUGUACAAAAGCUAUCAAUGCCAUGUUAGUCAUGAAUCAUUGUGUAUCAACCACCGCUCAAAAUCAUCGUACAAUGGCAUUAUUGAUUAUGGAACGAGUAAACAAAUGUAAGGUAAUAUUUGUGCAUAUACUAUCAAGACAUUUAUUUUUUUUAAAUAACAUAAUAUGUAUUUUUAAAAUAAAUAAAAUAUAUUUUUCUGUUUGUUAUGUAUGCGAUAAAUGAUGUUCUCAAACAAUUCUGUUGAACCAAG
rnacentral:lncRNA from 1 species